rnacentral:rRNA from 1 species
UUAAGCGACUAAGCGUACACGGUGGAUGCCCUGGCAGUCAGAGGCGAUGAAGGACGUGCUAAUCUGCGAUAAGCGUCGGUAAGGUGAUAUGAACCGUUAUAACCGGCGAUUUCCGAAUGGGGAAACCCAGUGUGUUUCGACACACUAUCAUUAACUGAAUCCAUAGGUUAAUGAGGCGAACCGGGGGAACUGAAACAUCUAAGUACCCCGAGGAAAAGAAAUCAACCGAGAUUCCCCCAGUAGCGGCGAGCGAACGGGGAGGAGCCCAGAGCCUGAAUCAGUGUGUGUGUUAGUGGAAGCGUCUGGAAAGGCGCGCGAUACAGGGUGACAGCCCCGUACACAAAAAUGCACAUUGCUGUGAGCUCGAUGAGUAGGGCGGGACACGUGGUAUCCUGUCUGAAUAUGGGGGGGACCAUCCUCCAAGGCUAAAUACUCCUGACUGACCGAUAGUGAACCAGUACCGUGAGGGAAAAGGCGAAAAGAACCCCGGCGAGGGGAGUGAAAAAGAACCUGAAACCGUGUACGUACAAGCAGUGGGAGCCUCUUUAUGGGGUGACUGCGUACCUUUUGUAUAAUGGGUCAGCGACUUAUAUUCUGUAGCAAGGUUAACCGAAUAGGGGAGCCGAAGGGAAACCGAGUCUUAACUGGGCGUUAAGUUGCAGGGUAUAGACCCGAAACCCGGUGAUCUAGCCAUGGGCAGGUUGAAGGUUGGGUAACACUAACUGGAGGACCGAACCGACUAAUGUUGAAAAAUUAGCGGAUGACUUGUGGCUGGGGGUGAAAGGCCAAUCAAACCGGGAGAUAGCUGGUUCUCCCCGAAAGCUAUUUAGGUAGCGCCUCGUGAAUUCAUCUCCGGGGGUAGAGCACUGUUUCGGCAAGGGGGUCAUCCCGACUUACCAACCCGAUGCAAACUGCGAAUACCGGAGAAUGUUAUCACGGGAGACACACGGCGGGUGCUAACGUCCGUCGUGAAGAGGGAAACAACCCAGACCGCCAGCUAAGGUCCCAAAGUCAUGGUUAAGUGGGAAACGAUGUGGGAAGGCCCAGACAGCCAGGAUGUUGGCUUAGAAGCAGCCAUCAUUUAAAGAAAGCGUAAUAGCUCACUGGUCGAGUCGGCCUGCGCGGAAGAUGUAACGGGGCUAAACCAUGCACCGAAGCUGCGGCAGCGACACUAUGUGUUGUUGGGUAGGGGAGCGUUCUGUAAGCCUGUGAAGGUGUACUGUGAGGUAUGCUGGAGGUAUCAGAAGUGCGAAUGCUGACAUAAGUAACGAUAAAGCGGGUGAAAAGCCCGCUCGCCGGAAGACCAAGGGUUCCUGUCCAACGUUAAUCGGGGCAGGGUGAGUCGACCCCUAAGGCGAGGCCGAAAGGCGUAGUCGAUGGGAAACAGGUUAAUAUUCCUGUACUUGGUGUUACUGCGAAGGGGGGACGGAGAAGGCUAUGUUGGCCGGGCGACGGUUGUCCCGGUUUAAGCGUGUAGGCUGGUUUUCCAGGCAAAUCCGGAAAAUCAAGGCUGAGGCGUGAUGACGAGGCACUACGGUGCUGAAGCAACAAAUGCCCUGCUUCCAGGAAAAGCCUCUAAGCAUCAGGUAACAUCAAAUCGUACCCCAAACCGACACAGGUGGUCAGGUAGAGAAUACCAAGGCGCUUGAGAGAACUCGGGUGAAGGAACUAGGCAAAAUGGUGCCGUAACUUCGGGAGAAGGCACGCUGAUAUGUAGGUGAAGCGACUUGCUCGUGGAGCUGAAAUCAGUCGAAGAUACCAGCUGGCUGCAACUGUUUAUUAAAAAACACAGCACUGUGCAAACACGAAAGUGGACGUAUACGGUGUGACGCCUGCCCGGUGCCGGAAGGUUAAUUGAUGGGGUUAGCGGUAACGCGAAGCUCUUGAUCGAAGCCCCGGUAAACGGCGGCCGUAACUAUAACGGUCCUAAGGUAGCGAAAUUCCUUGUCGGGUAAGUUCCGACCUGCACGAAUGGCGUAAUGAUGGCCAGGCUGUCUCCACCCGAGACUCAGUGAAAUUGAACUCGCUGUGAAGAUGCAGUGUACCCGCGGCAAGACGGAAAGACCCCGUGAACCUUUACUAUAGCUUGACACUGAACAUUGAGCCUUGAUGUGUAGGAUAGGUGGGAGGCUUUGAAGUGUGGACGCCAGUCUGCAUGGAGCCGGCCUUGAAAUACCACCCUUUAAUGUUUGAUGUUCUAACGUUGGCCCCUGAUCGGGGUUGCGGACAGUGUCUGGUGGGUAGUUUGACUGGGGCGGUCUCCUCCUAAAGAGUAACGGAGGAGCACGAAGGUUGGCUAAUCCUGGUCGGACAUCAGGAGGUUAGUGCAAUGGCAUAAGCCAGCUUGACUGCGAGCGUGACGGCGCGAGCAGGUGCGAAAGCAGGUCAUAGUGAUCCGGUGGUUCUGAAUGGAAGGGCCAUCGCUCAACGGAUAAAAGGUACUCCGGCGAUAACAAGGCUGAUACCGCCCAAGAGUUCAUAUCGACGGGCGGUGUUUGGCACCUCGAUGUCGGCUCAUCACAUCCUGGGGGCUGAAGUAGGUCCCAAGGGUAUGGCUGUUCGCCAUUUAAAGUGGUACGCGAGCUGGGUUUAGAACGUCGUGAGACAGUUCGGUCCCUAUCUGCCGUGGGCGCUGGAGAACUGAGGGGGGCUGCUCCUAGUACGAGAGGGACCGGAGUGGACGCAUCACUGGUGUUCGGGUUUGUCAUGCCAAUGGCAACUGCCCGGUAGCUAAAUGCGGAAGAGAUAAGUGCUGAAAGCAUCUAAGCACGAAACUUGCCCGAGAUGAGUUCUCCCUGAGACUUAGAGUCUCCUGGAAGGAACGUUGAAGACGACGACGUUGAUAGGCCGGGUGUGUAAGCGCAGCGAUGCGUUGAGCUAACCGGUACUAAUGAACCGUGAGGCUUAACCUU